CCUACGGGAGGCAGCAGUGGGGAAUCUUGCGCAAUGGGCGAAAGCCUGACGCAGCCAUGCCGCGUGAAUGAUGAAGGUCUUAGGAUUGUAAAAUUCUUUCACCGAGGACGAUAAUGACGGUACUCGGAGAAGAAGCCCCGGCUAACUUCGUGCCAGCAGCCGCGGUAAUACGAAGGGGGCUAGCGUUGCUCGGAAUUACUGGGCGUAAAGGGAGCGUAGGCGGAUAGUUUAGUCAGAGGUGAAAGCCCAGGGCUCAACCUUGGAAUUGCCUUUGAUACUGGCUAUCUUGAGUACGGAAGAGGUAUGUGGAACUCCGAGUGUAGAGGUGAAAUUCGUAGAUAUUCGGAAGAACACCAGUGGCGAAGGCGACAUACUGGUCCGUUACUGACGCUGAGGCUCGAAAGCGUGGGGAGCAAACAGGAUUAGAUACCCUGGUAGUCCACGCUGUAAACGAUGAGUGCUAGUUGUCGGCAUGCAUGCAUGUCGGUGACGCAGCUAACGCAUUAAGCNCNCCGCCGNGGAGGUACGGUCGCAGAUAAACUACAAUAGAGUAGACGCGUGAGAGUGACCGACGGACGACGACGAGGGAGGAGG
rnacentral:rRNA from 1 species